AAGGCUGCGGCGGCGACGAGCUCCGAGCGGGACACUGAACGGCCCGUAUGCGCAAGAUAAGCACGGACUGAAUCAGGUACACGCACCUGCCGGGGACGCACUGACCGAGGUGCGGACGGCGGUACCAGGACAGGUAAAGCCGCGAACACUCGGACCUAAGAACUUGACAGGUACACCCUGCCUGAUGAAGCUACGUACGGCCAGGUGCGCAUCGAGUGAAUCAGGGUGAGAACCUACUUCUUCAUAAAGAGAAUUUGGAGGGAGCUUUUUGUUCUGCGGGGACAACAUCUGGAUUUGAAUACAUCCAUGCUCAAAAGGAGAUUUCUCAUAAUGGACCCAACUGAAAGCACUCAGAGUACAAGGACCGGUGAGCUUUCAAAAGGAGACACUUCGGGAGACUCGCCAGGGGCCCUCGUAUCCCCGGCAGCGCGAGUUUUGGAGGUCAGUGGAGGGCUCUCGCAUCAUGCAUGUAACUUUCAUACUCAAAAACUUACCUUCAUCCUGCAUCCCUCACCCCCCUGCAGAAACUUGGGGCUUGAAUUCAUUUAAAAACAUUUGCGGUUUCAGAAGCCUUCUUUUUAUUAUGAAGCUGCCAAGGAGAUCUUAGAAUGAAAGGCAUUUUUAGAGAUGAGAAAGAAGGAAGCCAGGCCAAGGCUGGGCCGGCUCUCAGCCGUGGGUCUGUAAAGGUGACACGUGGGACAUGGCCACCUGCAGACCCUGCAGGCGGCUGGGCAGAGGCACCCACAGGGACCUGGGUUUGAAUCCCUGCUCUGCCAGUCAUUUCCACAGCGAUCUUGGGGGAAGUUGUGUAACCUCUGGGCCCUGCGACGCCCUUUCCUGGAGCCUGGAGCUGGAACGAAGCCCCUUGGAGCCCUGACAUCAGAGGUGACGUUAGUCUUCGCAGGCAAUGACUCGGCGGAAUGUGAUGCCACUCCCUAACCCGUGUCCGGACUGGCAGAGUGUGUGCCGCCUCCCACCAGGUGGUCUGGCUGCUUUGAUGGAUCUCCUAACUUCUCUGCACCCCAGAGCCCUCAGUGCUGGCCAGACCUUCACUCACUCCUGGGUGACAACCCCGUUCUCAGAUAGUGGGUCCCACAGGCUGGCCUGUGGCGCCCCCUGCUGGUGACUGCAGGG
rnacentral:lncRNA from 10 species